rnacentral:rRNA from 1 species
UCCGGAUUUACUGGGCGUAAAGCGCCUGUAGGCGGUCAAGUAAGUCGGAUGUGAAGGCCCCGUGCUCAACGCGGGGAAGCCAUUCGAUACUGCGUGACUAGAGAACGGCAGAGGGAAACGGAAUUUCUGGUGUAGCGGUAAAAUGCGCAGAGAUCAGAAAGAACACCGAUGGCGAAGGCAGUUUCCUAGGCCGCAUCUGACGCUGAGAGGCGAAAGCUAGGGGAGCAAACAGGAUUAGAGACCCUGGUAGUCCUAGCUGUAAACGAUGGAUGCUAGGUGUGGGCCGGAAAGGUCCGUGCCGUAGUUAACGCGAUAAGCAUCCCGCCUGGGGAGUACGGCCGCAAGGCUAAAACUCAAACGAAUUGACGGGGACCCGCACAAGCAGCGGAGCGUGUGGUUUAAUUCGAUGCUACACGCAGAACCUUACCUGGGCUUGACAUGUAGGUGGUAGUGAAGUGAAAGCGGAGCGACCCUUCGGGGAGCCUACACAGGUGCUGCAUGGCUGUCGUCAGCUCGUGCCGUGAGGUGUCGGGUUAAGUCCCGUAACGAGCGCAACCCUUGUCCUUAGUUACAAGUGUCUAAGGAGACUGCCGGUGACAAACCGGAGGAAGGUGGGGAUGACGUCAAGUCAGCAUGGCCCUUAUGUCCAGGGCGACACACACGCUACAAUGGUCGGUACAAUGGGCAGCGCAGCCGCGAGGUGAAGCGAAUCCCAACAAAGCCGAUCCCAGUUCGGAUUGCAGGCUGCAACCCGCCUGCAUGAAGCCGGAGUU